rnacentral:rRNA from 4 species
UGAACAUUGAGCCUUGAUGUGUAGGAUAGGUGGGAGGCUUUGAAGUGUGGACGCCAGUCUGCAUGGAGCCGACCUUGAAAUACCACCCUUUAAUGUUUGAUGUUCUAACGUGGACCCGUGAUCCGGGUUGCGGACAGUGUCUGGUGGGUAGUUUGACUGGGGCGGUCUCCUCCUAAAGAGUAACGGAGGAGCACGAAGGUUGGCUAAUCCUGGUCGGACAUCAGGAGGUUAGUGCAAUGGCAUAAGCCAGCUUGACUGCGAGCGUGACGGCGCGAGCAGGUGCGAAAGCAGGUCAUAGUGAUCCGGUGGUUCUGAAUGGAAGGGCCAUCGCUCAACGGAUAAAAGGUACUCCGGGGAUAACAGGCUGAUACCGCCCAAGAGUUCAUAUCGACGGCGGUGUUUGGCACCUCGAUGUCGGCUCAUCACAUCCUGGGGCUGAAGUAGGUCCCAAGGGUAUGGCUGUUCGCCAUUUAAAGUGGUACGCGAGCUGGGUUUAGAACGUCGUGAGACAGUUCGGUCCCUAUCUGCCGUGGGCGCUGGAGAACUGAGGGGGGCUGCUCCUAGUACGAGAGGACCGGAGUGGACGCAUCACUGGUGUUCGGGUUGUCAUGCCAAUGGCACUGCCCGGUAGCUAAAUGCGGAAGAGAUAAGUGCUGAAAGCAUCUAAGCACGAAACUUGCCCCGA